CAGUAGCCACGGGAAUACGUAGGUGGCAAGCGUUGUCCGGAAUUACUGGGCGUAAAGCGGGCGCAGACGGUUACUUAAGCAGGAUGUGAAAUCCCCGGGCUCAACCUGGGAACUGCGUUCUGAACUGGGUGACUAGAGUGUGUCAGAGGGAGGUAGAAUUCCACGUGUAGCAGUGAAAUGCGUAGAGAUGUGGAGGAAUACCGAUGGCGAAGGCAGCCUCCCGGGAUAACACUGACGUUCAUGCCCGAAAGCGUGGGUAGCAAACAGGAUUAGAGACCCCCGUAGUCCCUGUCUCUUAUAC
rnacentral:rRNA from 1 species